rnacentral:rRNA from 1 species
UACGAACUGUGCAAACGUUAUUCGGAUUCACUGGGCUUAAAGGGUGCGUAGGCGGCCAUGUAAGUAGGGUGUGAAAUCCCCCGGCUUAACCGGGGAACUGCGCCCUAAACUGUAUGGCUGGAGUGAGAUAGGGGUGUGUGGAACUUCCGGUGGAGCGGUGAAAUGUGUUGAUAUCGGAAGGAACGCCGGUGGCGAAAGCGACACACUGGGUCUCAACUGACGCUGAGGCACGAAAGCCAGGGGAGCGAACGGG